CCCAAAGAGACUCAUGUGUGUCUCCAGUCCUUCCUGGUGUGAUCCACUGUGGAUAAUGCAGGGAGACAUCAGAACAGCAGCUCCCCCGGGCACAGGGAGUGUGCCAGAGUGGGAAAGCAGAAAAACAAAAGGAACAUUCAGCAAAGCAUCUUCUUCCCCCACCCCUGUGCUGAGGGAGUGCACACAGGGUGUACUCUGCACUGGUUUGCAGCAGGGACUGGGACAGUUCAUUUGGCAUAAGAGAAUGGAUCUUCCCUAAAAUAAUUCCUGGGAAAGAGAUGUUUUGGCACAAGGCCACUGGAUUUUCAGGCUGGAUGGGAAGGUUCUCCUGACUGGUUCUGCCUUCUUAAAGAUUCCCCUUUUUUUUUCACUCAAAUGUCUCUUGAGAUUCACAACACGAGGUGUGGGCAGGCACAGCAGGUGCUGUGCUGACACUGGGCAUACAGGACAUUCUGGAAUCCAAAAAAACCCUCAGCCCACGUUUAAGCCCUGCCAUUAUUUCCAAAGUGGGAGCUGGCAGGUGCAGUGGCACUUCCUUCACGAGGCACUGGAAAAAUCUGGCCCUGCUGUGGAUUCAGUGAAAUGCAGGUGAAAAGGUCACUUUGCUGACACCUCUCCUAACUACAGCAAACUGAGAUCUGAAAAAUAUUUCUAAUGUUUUAUUGUAUUUCUUUCCUUUUUCUCCAUGUUAUACACAGGAACUGGGCAGAUUUGCCUGAGGGCUGCAGCAAACCAAGAACCCAGGCAGGAGCAACACCCUACUCUGGCAGCUUCCAGGCUGGAGCCUGAACCAACAGCUGCAGCAGCGGGUGAGGAAACUGGGCGCUAUAAGGAAAUCUGCAAGGUGAAGAUUUCAAGGUUACAGCUCCCAAGGAAUGUGAUUAACACGCACUGAAAAGUGGGAUUGGUGAAAUAAAGUGGUGGCACUUCACCAUUUAUUUCCUUGUUGCACAGUGUUUGCAGUGCUUGUCUAAGAAGCCUCUGCAAAGCCUCCGGCCUCUCUCUUCAGAAACCACGGCAUAAUUCCCAUCCUUUCCCUCCUGCCUCACUCCAUUAAGUAACCCUAUAGUGUGUGUGUGGCAUACAGGCUGAAAACUAUGUAGAGAUUCCAACAUUUUUCCACUGUCUUCCCAUUUCCUUGUAUAGGAAGAAGCCGAAAUAACACCAGUUUUGG